CUCUGCCUGGCUGGAAGCGGGGGGCCUCUAUGGUGCCAGGAGACCCGUCCGGCCAGCAGCUGCAGCAGCGGAGCCAAGAGGGGUCUUCUAGCAGCUGUGCAAAGGUGGUUUUAUGAUUUUACAACCCACCCACCCCCAGCUCCUUGUUCAGCCAGCAGUGAGUGGAUCCUGUCCUCUGCUACAGUGAGAUCCUCCCUUCCCCAAAGAGCCUGGCUUCUGGGCCUCCCCCCUGCAAAUUGCUCAUGGCAUUAAAAGCAGAAGGUCCCCUACCGGAUUACAUUGAGGUAUCUCUGAAGUGCAAACGAGAGGAAGAGAAAAUGGUUGCCGAUCCUCUUGUGCCAGUCCAUGACCCCGU